rnacentral:rRNA from 1 species
GAUGAACGCUGGCGGCGUGCUUAACACAUGCAAGUCGAACGGAAAGGCCCAAGCUUGCUUGGGUACUCGAGUGGCGAACGGGUGAGUAACACGUGGGUGAUCUGCCCUGCACUUCGGGAUAAGCCUGGGAAACUGGGUCUAAUACCGGAUAGGACCACAUUUUGGAGGGUGUGGUGGAAAGUUUUUCGGUGUGGGAUGAGCUCGCGGCCUAUCAGCUUGUUGGUGGGGUAAUGGCCUACCAAGGCGUCGACGGGUAGCCGGCCUGAGAGGGUGUACGGCCACAUUGGGACUGAGAUACGGGCCAGACUCCGACGGGAGGCAGCAGUGGGGAAUAUUGCACAAUGGGCGCAAGCCUGAGGCAGCGACGCCGCGUGGGGGAUGACGGCCUUCGGGUUGUAAACACCUUUCGCUAGGGACGAAGCGUUUUUGUGACGGUACCUGGAGAAGAAGCACCGGCUAACUACGUG